rnacentral:antisense_RNA from 1 species
GCCUAUGGCGGCUGUGCGCGGGAGGCUUUUGCCUGCCGGGAGUGCCUCCAGUCCGGUUUACCACUCCGCGUACAGCUGCCACCCAA